rnacentral:rRNA from 1 species
GAUGAACGCUAGCUACAGGCUUAACACAUGCAAGUCGAGGGGCAGCAUUUCAGUUUUGCUUGCAAACUGGAGAUGGCGACCGGCGCACGGGUGAGUAACACGUAUCCAACCUGCCGAUAACUCGGGGAUAGCCUUUCGAAAGAAAGAUUAAUACCCGAUGGUAUAAUCAGACCGCAUGGUCUUGUUAUUAAAGAAUUUCGGUUAUCGAUGGGGAUGCGUUCCAUUAGGCAGUUGGUGAGGUAACGGCUCACCAAACCUUCGAUGGAUAGGGGUUCUGAGAGGAAGGUCCCCCACAUUGGAACUGAGACACGGUCCAAACUCCUACGGGAGGCAGCAGUGAGGAAUAUUGGUCAAUGGGCGCAGGCCUGAACCAGCCAAGUAGCGUGAAGGAUGACUGCCCUAUGGGUUGUAAACUUCUUUUAUAUGGGAAUAAAGUUUUCCACGUGUGGAAUUUUGUAUGUACCAUAUGAAUAAGGAUCGGCUAACUCCGUGCCAGCAGCCGCGGUAAUACGGAGGAUCCGAGCGUUAUCCGGAUUUAUUGGGUUUAAAGGGAGCGUAGGUGGACAGUUAAGUCAGUUGUGAAAGUUUGCGGCUCAACCGUAAAAUUGCAGUUGAUACUGGCUGUCUUGAGUACAGUAGAGGUGGGCGGAAUUCGUGGUGUAGCGGUGAAAUGCUUAGAUAUCACGAAGAACUCCGAUUGCGAAGGCAGCUCACUGGACUGCAACUGACACUGAUGCUCGAAAGUGUGGGUAUCAAACAGGAUUAGAUACCCUGGUAGUCCACACAGUAAACGAUGAAUACUCGCUGUUUGCGAUAUACAGUAAGCGGCCAAGCGAAAGCAUUAAGUAUUCCACCUGGGGAGUACGCCGGCAACGGUGAAACUCAAAGGAAUUGACGGGGGCCCGCACAAGCGGAGGAACAUGUGGUUUAAUUCGAUGAUACGCGAGGAACCUUACCCGGGCUUAAAUUGCAUUUGAAUAUAUUGGAAACAGUAUAGCCGUAAGGCAAAUGUGAAGGUGCUGCAUGGUUGUCGUCAGCUCGUGCCGUGAGGUGUCGGCUUAAGUGCCAUAACGAGCGCAACCCUUAUCUUUAGUUACUAACAGGUCAUGCUGAGGACUCUAGAGAGACUGCCGUCGUAAGAUGUGAGGAAGGUGGGGAUGACGUCAAAUCAGCACGGCCCUUACGUCCGGGGCUACACACGUGUUACAAUGGGGGGUACAGAAGGCAGCUACCUGGUGACAGGAUGCUAAUCCCAAAAGCCUCUCUCAGUUCGGAUCGAAGUCUGCAACCCGACUUCGUGAAGCUGGAUUCGCUAGUAAUCGCGCAUCAGCCAUGGCGCGGUGAAUACGUUCCCGGGCCU